rnacentral:misc_RNA from 1 species
AUUAAAUUAGUCAUUGUUUGAAUUCAGUUUUGCAUUUUCAUACCUUUCACUUCAUUUUUCCCAAAUUUCAUACCUAUUUGAUUAAAUUACAAUUUUAGAAUAGUUCAUUUUACAUCAAAAAUUUAAUUUCUAGUACAACUCUUCAAGGGAAUAAUAUAUAUUUUCUAUACUACUUGAACGAUGUGCACCUGCGGUUGGGCCACAUCAAGUAUUUGGAUUGUUUAAGAUUGAAUUUUUUAUUAUUUUUGUAGUUUAUAGUUUGUAGUUUUUAUUUUUAUAUAUUAUCUUUUCAAUUUGUGUUUUGUUAUUCUUUUUAGGUAUUUUUUGAUCUUUUAUGGAAAGAGCCAAAAGCACAAGUGACAUAUCUCUUUUAUACAAUUCUAAAAUUGAGAAAUUUUGUAGAGCCAACAAGAAAGAAACUAGAAGCUUUAAGAGCGAUUGAAAUUGAAGUUGAAACAGAAAUGGCUGAUAAAUGAGUUAGAAUUGGUGGUAAUGGUGAAAAUAAUCAAAACAAUGAGAAUGAUACUCAUUGAGAAGAAAUUGUCAAUGCUAAUGUGCGUAGGGAAAGUAUGAUAGAUCAUGCAUUCCCUCGUUUUGAUGACUUGAGGGAGAGCAUUGCAAGACCAAGAAUUAAUACAUACAACUAUAUGAUGGAUUUUGGGGUACUGCAAAUGAUUCAUAAUUCUCAAAUUAGAGGUCAUCCUUCAGAAAAUUCUCACUCAUCUUAAGAAGUUUGCUAUGAUCUGUGAUAUGCAAAAGCAACUAGGAGUGUCUAAUGAUGUAGUAAGGCUUAAACUGUUUCCAUUUUCUUUGAAGGAUAGGGCUUUAGAUUAGCUUGAUUCCCUGGCUCACAACUCUAUCACAAAUUGGGAAGAGCAAACUAUGCAUUCCUAGCUCAAUACUUUCCACCUAAAAAAAACUCGAGUUGAGAAAUCAGAUGACUGUUUUUCGACUAAGAGAAGAUGAGACUCUUUAUGAAUCAUGGAUGAGA